GGAUGAACGCUAGCGGCAGGCCUAAUACAUGCCAGUCGAGGGGUAAGAGUCAGCUUGCUGACUACACGACCGGCGCACGGGUGCGUAACGCGUAUGCAACCUACCUUUAACAGAGGAAUAGCCCCGAGAAAUCGGGAUUAAUACCACAUAACAUUAUGAUAUGGCAUCAUAUUAUAAUUAAAACUCCGGUGGUUAAAGAUGGGCAUGCGUGACAUUAGCUAGUUGGUGAGGUAACUGCUCACCAAGGCUACGAUGUCUAGGGGUUCUGAGAGGAUGAUCCCCCACACUGGUACUGAAACACGGACCAGACUCCUACGGGAGGCAGCAGUAAGGAAUAUUGCGCAAUGGAGGCAACUCUGACGCAGCCAUGCCGCGUGCAGGAUUGAAGGCCUUAUGGGUCGUAAACUGCUUUUAUUUAGGAAUAAACUUUCGUACGUGUACGAAACUGAAGGUACUAAACGAAUAAGCACCGGCUAACUCCGUGCCAGCAGCCGCGGUAAUACGGAGGGUGCAAGCGUUAUCCGGAUUUAUUGGGUUUAAAGGGUGCGCAGGCGGACCAAUUAGUCAGUGGUGAAAUCCCGAGGCUCAACCUCGGAACUGCCAUUGAUACUGUUGGUCUUGAAUACGGUUGAAGUAGGCGGAAUGUAGCAUGUAGCGGUGAAAUGCAUAGAGAUGCUACAGAAACACCGAUCGCGAAGGCAGCUUACUAAACCGAUAUUGACGCUCAGGCACGAAAGCGUGGGGAGCGAACAGGAUUAGAUACCCUGGUAGUCCACGCCGUAAACUAUGAUCACUCGUUGUUGGCAAUACACAGUCAGUGACCAAGCGAAAGCGAUAAGUGAUCCACCUGGGGAGUACGAUCGCAAGGUUGAAACUCAAAGGAAUUGACGGGGGCCCGCACAAGCGGUGGAGCAUGUGGUUUAAUUCGAUGAUACGCGAGGAACCUUACCUGGGCUCAAAUGUAAGUUGACAGUUUAUGAAAGGGAAUUUUCUUCGGACAAUUUACAAGGUGCUGCAUGGUUGUCGUCAGCUCGUGCCGUGAGGUGUCGGGUUAAGUCCCAUAACGAGCGCAACCCCUACUCUUAGUUGCCAUCAGAUAAUGCUGGGGACUCUAGGAGAACUGCCUACGCAAGUAGAGAGGAAGGUGGGGAUGACGUCAAAUCAGCACGGCCCUUACGUCCAGGGCUACACACGUGCUACAAUGGCCGGUACAGAGGGCAGCCACCUGGUGACAGGGAGCGAAUCUCUAAAGCCGGUCUCAGUUCGGAUCGAAGUCUGCAACCCGACUUCGUGAAGCUGGAAUCGCUAGUAAUCGCGCAUCAGCCAUGGCGCGGUGAAUACGUUCCCGGGCCUUGUACAC
rnacentral:rRNA from 1 species